GCCAAGUCCACCGGCUGGUGCAAGAGCCCAGACUACCAACCCGUUAGUCCGUCAGCAGAAAACGUGUCAGCUACCGACAAAUGGCUUCUCGGUCAUUUCCAAUCAGGACAGAGGUGUAGCGACGUGCAUCGCCCUCAGCUCCAGCACCUCAUCACUUCUGGCAUUAGAAGAAAGGAGAAGGCGAAGGCUGUGAUGCCAUACUGGAGGCUUUAAAACAUCUAAACAAGCGGGUGAUGUCACAGUGGCCGAGUUAACUUCUUAUUACACAGAAUAUGACCUCACAGCACCCUUUCUUUUGCAUGACUGAGCCUUUCCAGUAUGCCUCUUUCAUACCCAACCAUAUGAUACCAUAUUGCCUGUUUAAAGCAACCCCAACCUUCCCAGUCUUUUGUUGCUCCUGGCAUCAGAUCCACAAUAAGCACAUAACUUGCAAAAAAUCAAUGAUAUAGAUGAGGAAAAAACAUCAAAAAUGUUCUCUUUGUGUUGUUUUAAACCGAGUGUGUGUCAAAAGGGAUUUCACACAGCGUCCUAACUUUUCAUGAAUCUGGGUUGUAAUUACUCUGAUAAAUAUAAUAAAGCUCCUGACCUUCCUUCGAGCAACUGAUUAAAGAUCAAUUCAUAGUUCAAA